rnacentral:rRNA from 1 species
AGUUUGAUCCUGGCUCAGGACGAACGCUGGCGGCGUGCCUAAUACAUGCAAGUAGAACGCUGAAGGAGGAGCUUGCUUCUCUGGAUGAGUUGCGAACGGGUGAGUAACGCGUAGGUAACCUGCCUGGUAGCGGGGGAUAACUAUUGGAAACGAUAGCUAAUACCGCAUAAGAGUGGAUGUUGCAUGACAUUUGCUUAAAAGGUGCACUUGCAUCACUACCAGAUGGACCUGCGUUGUAUUAGCUAGUUGGUGGGGUAAGGGCUCACCAAGGCGACGAUACAUAGCCGACCUGAGAGGGUGAUCGGCCACACUGGGACUGAGACACGGCCCAGACUCCUACGGGAGGCAGCAGUAGGGAAUCUUCGGCAAUGGACGGAAGUCUGACCGAGCAACGCCGCGUGAGUGAAGAAGGUUUUCGGAUCGUAAAGCUCUGUUGUAAGAGAAGAACGAGUGUGAGAGUGGAAAGUUCACACUGUGACGGUAUCUUACCAGAAAGGGAC